CAGAAGGUAGUUUAAAAACAAAACAAUAAUUUUGGGUAUUAUCAUUCUAUUUUUAUAGUCUUCUGA
rnacentral:tRNA from 1 species